rnacentral:piRNA from 4 species
UGAUCUCGGAAGCUAAGCAGGGACGG